UUUAGCUUACCACGAUUCCUCUUCUUCUCUUGUUGACAACCCUGCUCUUCUUUUUCCCUUCCGGCAAAUUUGGGAUCACCUGCUCCUCUUCUUUCUUUGGCUCUAGCUCUCAGUUUUGGAUUCUACUACUCAUUCUUCAUAUUCAAAAUCUCAGUUUACUCAGUUUCAAGAUCUUAUCUCAUUUUGCAGCUCCAAAAUCAACUUGGUCUUGUUAGAUUUCAAAUUUUUUUUAUUCAAGCUUCUUAUUACUAAUACGUAUUAAGGUCAAACAAUUUUAUCAAUGGCUUCCAAAUUGCUAUUAAAGAAACAAAGUCAACCAGUUGAGGCAAG